rnacentral:misc_RNA from 1 species
UACAGAUACAAUAAUAAGUUUGUUUGUAUUUUAUU